AGUCGAGCGGAGAUGAGGUGCUUGCACCUUAUCUUAGCGGCGGACGGGUGAGUAAUGCUUAGGAAACCUGCCUAUUAGUGGGGGACAACAUUCCGAAAGGGAUGCUAAUACCGCAUACGUCCUACGGGAGAAAGCAGGGGAUCUUCGGACCUUGCGCUAAUAGAUGAGCCUAAGUCGGAUUAGCUAGUUGGUGGGGUAAAGGCCUACCAAGGCGACGAUCUGUAGCGGGUCUGAGAGGAUGAUCCGCCACACUGGGGAUGAGACACGGCCCAGGAUCCUACGGGAGGCAGCAGUGGGGAAACAUUGGACAAUGGGGGGAACCCUGAUCCAGCCAUGCCGCGUGUGUGAAGAAGGCCUUAUGGUUGUAAAGCACUUUAAGCGAGGAGGAGGCUACUGAGGAUAAUACUCUUGGAUAGUGGACGUUACUCGCAGAAUAAGCACCGGCUAACUCUGUGCCAGCAGCCGCGGUAAUACAGAGGGUGCGAGCGUUAAUCGGAUUUACUGGGCGUAAAGCGUGCGUAGGCGGCUUUUUAAGUCGGAUGUGAAAUCCCCGAGCUUAACUUGGGAAACUGCAUUCGAUACUGGGAAGCUAGAGUAUGGGAGAGGAUGGUAGAAUUCCAGGUGUAGCGGUGAAAUGCGUAGAGAUCUGGAGGAAACACCGAUGGCGAAGGCAGCCAUCUGGCCUAAUACUGACGCUGAGGUACGAAAGCAUGGGGAGCAAACAGGAUUAGAUACCCUGGUAGUCCAUGCCGUA
rnacentral:rRNA from 1 species